rnacentral:tRNA from 1 species
GGUGGCUCAGUGGAAGAGCACUUGCCUUGCAUGCAUGAGGCCCUGGGUUUGAUUCCUCAGCACCA